AUUGAACGCUGGCGGCAGGCCUAACACAUGCAAGUCGAGCGGUAGAGCGAAGCUUGCUUCUCUUGAGAGCGGCGGACGGGUGAGUAAUGCCUAGGAAUCUGCCUGGUAGUGGGGGAUAACGUUCGGAAACGGACGCUAAUACCGCACACGUCCUACGGGAGAAAGCAGGGGACCUUCGGGCCUUGCGCUAUCAGAUGAGCCUAGGUCGGAUUAGCUAGUUGGUGGGGUAAUGGCUCACCAAGGCGACGAUCCGUAACUGGUCUGAGAGGAUGAUCAGUCACACUGGAACUGAGACACGGUCCAGACUCCUACGGGAGGCAGCAGUGGGGAAUAUUGGACAAUGGGCGAAAGCCUGAUCCAGCCAUGCCGCGUGUGUGAAGAAGGUCUUCGGAUUGUAAAGCACUUUAAGUUGGGAGGAAGGGCAGUAAAUUAAUACUUUGCUGUUUUGACGUUACCGACAGAAUAAGCACCGGCUAACUCUGUG
rnacentral:rRNA from 1 species